GUGGAUUAGAUACCCUGGUAGUCCACGCUGUAAACGAUGAUCACUCGCUGUUUGCGAUAUACAGUAAGCGGCUGAGCGAAAGCAAUAAGUGAUCCACCUGGGGAGUACGAUCGCAAGGUUGAAACUCAAAGGAAUUGACGGGGGCCCGCACAAGCGGAGGAACAUGUGGUUUAAUUCGAUGAUACGCGAGGAACCUUACCUGGGCUUAAAUGGGGAACGACAGCUGCUGAAAGGUGGCCUUCUUCGGACGUUCUUCAAGGUGCUGCAUGGUCGUCGUCAGCU
rnacentral:rRNA from 1 species